UUCCCUUGAGUAAUUUACCACUUAAUAUAAUAUAGUUUUAUAAAACUUAAUAUAUAGCCGCACAAAUGUCACACUACACUAUAUAGUAUAGUUGUAUUAUUGCUCACAUGCACAUGAUAGUUAAUCUCAUAUUAAUAAAUUAAUAACUUACACUACACAAAAAAUGAUCUCUAGUGAAGGACAAAUCCUUCACAAGACAUACUAUAUCACUCGCAAGUGAU
rnacentral:lncRNA from 1 species